AUGCUGAAGCUUUUGUCAAUUUCCGUAUCCACUCAGCCCAAACACUGCAGGAGGUUCUGGAGUUAGUCGAGUCAACUGUAUCAGAUGAGCGUGUGAAGGUAGAGCUAGUCGAUGGAUUCGACCCGCUGCCCAUCAGCUCCUACGAUGAGCAGGUGUUUGGCUUCCAGAUCAUAAAGAAAACGGUGAAGAGCAAUGUUUCCUCAGCUCACGGUGGCCCCUGGUGUCUGUGUUGGCAACACUGACAGCCGUCACUACAAGUAUAUCACGCAAGAUAUAUAUCGCUUUGCUCCGUCAUGGUUCAAACCAGGUGAUCC